rnacentral:lncRNA from 1 species
GUCCCUAAGUCAGUCUCCAGAGCGACCGGCAGCACUCGGCCGCGACCCCAGGAUGUCGCUCCUCCACCCCAACCCCCAGUUCUCACGGCUCGGAACCCCCAAAGGGUAGUAAAAAGGCAGAGACUGCUGGCAGGAGCUGCUAUGGCACCGUGAGCUGCAGCUGAUCUCCGGGAACUCUGCUGCCUGGUCCAGCCAGUUGUACAAUCGCUUCAAGACUGCAGCAUGGCAAUCACAUGAACCGUCGCAGCGGAUCAAGUUUAAGACUCUUCUGCUACAUGAGCAAAGGACCCCCUCUUUGAUGGACCCAGAACUAGCCUCUCCCACAAAGACCCUCCUCAGCAAAAAAAAAAAAAAAAAAAAAAAAAAA